rnacentral:rRNA from 1 species
AACGAACGCUGGCGGCAUGCCUAACACAUGCAAGUCGAACGAUUGCCUUCGGGUGAUAGUGGCGCACGGGUGCGUAACGCGUGGGAAUCUGCCCUUAGGUUCGGAAUAACAGCUGGAAACGGCUGCUAAUACCGGGUGAUAUCGCGAGAUCAAAGAUUUAUCGCCUGAGGAUGAGCCCGCGUUGGAUUAGGUAGGUGGUGGGGUAAAGGCCUACCAAGCCGACGAUCCAUAGCUGGGCUGAGAAGAUGAUCAGCCACACUGGGACUGAGACACGGCCCAGACUCCUACGGGAGGCAGCAGUGGGGAAUAUUGGACAAUGGGCGCAAGCCUGAUCCAGCAAUGCCGCGUGAGUGAUGAAGGCCCUAGGGUUGUAAAGCUCUUUUACCCGGGAAGAUAAUGACGGUACCGGGAGAAUAAGCCCCGGCUAACUCCGUG